rnacentral:rRNA from 1 species
CNNUNNUGGCGAAUGAACAGGGGCAUGCUCAGCAUGAAAAUCGGGGCCUGCGGGCCUGAGUUGUAGUCUCGGGAGGUACUGCCAACAGAGGCGCUGCUGUACGUCUCUUGGAAAUGAGUAUCAAUGAGGGUGAGGGUCCNGUUUGUCAAUGGCAGCCCACUGUGCACGGUGUACAUUCUAAGAGUCACGUUCCUUGGGAUUGGAGCGCAAUGCGGGUGGUAAGCUUCAUCUAAAGCUACAUAUGGGCUCAAGACCGAUUGCAAACAAGUACCAUGAGGGAAAGGUGAAAAGGACUUUGAAAAGAAAGUUACAAGUGCCUGAAAUCGCUGAAAAGGAAGUGAGCGAAACCAAUGUGUCUUGGUGAGAUUGCUGCACACAAGUGCCAUUGCUUGCUGCGCCAGCACACGUGUGGCAGUAAGUCUUGCGCAGGUUGCGUGCAGUGCUUUUUGCCUUGCCUGUCAACGUCGCUUCACGCUUGAGGAAGAUUUCAAGGACAUGGUAGCUCCCCCCAAGGGGCGAAUAUCUUUGUGUGUACUCAUGCGAAGGGUGNUCGGAGAGCAAAUGGCAGCGCUCGACCCGUCUUGAAACACGGACCAAGGAGUCUAACCUGUAUGCAAGCUUGUGGAUGGAUAAGGCUUUUGUGCACAAUGAAAGUGACUGCUGGGAUUUUUGCACCAGCCACCGACCUAUCAAUUGAGAGAGGUUUGAGUAUGAGCAUAUUUGUUAGGACCCGAAAGAUGGUGAACUACGCCUGUGAAGGGCAAGCUCAGGGGAAACUCUGAUGGAGGCUCAUAGCGAUACUGACGUGCAAAUCGUUCGUCAUACAUGGGUAUAGGGGCGAAAGACUAAUCGAACCAUCUAGUAGCUGGUUCCCUCCGAAGUUUCCCUCAGGAUAGCUGGACUU